rnacentral:rRNA from 1 species
UUAGUAAAGCGGCGAACGGGUGAGUAACACGUGGGUAACCUGCCCUGAAGACCGGGACAACCAUUCGAAAGGAUGGCUAAUACCGGAUAUACUGCGGAAUCGUAUGGUUCCGUAGGAAAUGGUAGCUUCGGCUUCUGCUUCAGGAUGGACCCGCGGCCCAUUAGCUUGUUGGUAGGGUAAUGGCCUACCAAGGCAACGAUGGGUAGCCGGCCUGAGAGGGCGAUCGGCCACACUGGAACUGAGAUACGGUCCAGACUCCUACGGGAGGCAGCAGUGGGGAAUCUUGCGCAAUGGGCGAAAGCCUGACGCAGCAACGCCGCGUGGGGGAAGAAGGCCUUAGGGUUGUAAACCUCUGUCGGGAGGGACGAAGCCACCUGCGUUAAUAGCGUAAGGGGUGACGGUGCCUCUAAAGGAAGCCCCGGCUAACUACGUGCCAGCAGCCGCGGUAAUACGUAGGGGGCAAGCGUUGUCCGGAUUUAUUGGGCGUAAAGAGCGUGUAGGCGGCCUGACAAGUCUGAUGUGAAAUCUUGCGGCUUAACCGCAAGCCUGCAUUGGAAACUGUCAGGCUAGAGUCUGGAUGAGGAAGAUGGAAUUCCUGGUGUAGCGGUGAAAUGCGCAGAUAUCAGGAGGAACACCGGUGGCGAAGGCGGUCUUCUAGGACAGUACUGACGCUGAGACGCGAAAGCGUGGGGAGCAAACAGGAUUA